rnacentral:rRNA from 1 species
AAUGAACGCUGGCGGCAGGCCUAAUACAUGCAAGUCGAGCGGAGCUGCGGACGGGUGAGUAAUGCCUAGGAAUCUGCCUGUUAGUGGGGGAUAACGUACGGAAACGGGCGCUAAUACCGCAUCCUAUCAGAUGACCCUAGGUCGGAUUUGCUAGUUGGUGGGGUAACGGCCUACCAAGGCGACGAUCCGUAACCGGUCUGAGAGGAUGAUCAGUCACACUGGAACUGAGACACGGUCCAGACUCCUACGGGAGGCAGCAGUGGGGAAUCUUGGGCAAUGGGCGAAAGCCUGAUCCAGCAAUGCCGCGUGUGUGAAGAAGGUCUUCGGAUUGUAAAACUCUGUUAGUAGGGAAGCGGUACCAACAGAGUAAGCAACGGCUAACUACGUGCCAGCAGCCGCGGUAAUUC